GAUAAAAUGGCUGAGAAUAGGCAAUAAAUUGUAAAUUUAUCUACGAAGUGAAUUCUUUUAUCA
rnacentral:tRNA from 1 species